ACGGAAGGCAGCAGUGAGGAAUAUUGGUCAAUGGGCGUGAGCCUGAACCAGCCAAGUAGCGUGAGGGAUGACUGCCCUAUGGGUUGUAAACCUCUUUUGUUUGGGAAUAAAGUCAGGGACGCGUCCCUGUUUGUAUGUACCUUUCGAAUAAGCAUCGGCUAAUUCCGUGCCAGCAGCCGCGGUAAUACGGAAGGUGCGAGCGUUAUCCGGAUUUAUUGGGUUUAAAGGGAGCGUAGGCGGACUGUUAGGUCUGUGGUCAAAUGUCAGGGCCCAACCUUGGCAUGCCAUGGAAACCGGCGGUCUUGAAUACACGCAAGGCAGAUGGAAUUCGUCGUGUAGCGGUGAAAUGCUUAGAUAUGACGAAGAACUCCGAUUGCGAAGGCAAUCUGCUGGAGUGCGAUUGACGCUGAGGCUCGAAAGCGCGGGGAGCGAACAGGAUUAGAUACCCUGGUA
rnacentral:rRNA from 1 species